CUUAUCUGUCAUGUUUCCAUGUUAACUUCAAUGGGUUAUUUGAAUCACAUCAGCAGUUAGAAAUGUCAUUAUAACCACCCAAAGUCAAUGUGAUGCCCAAGAAUCAGUCUUUCACAGGAGGGUCUGAGGUCUCCAUCAUGUGUUCUGCAACAGGUUAUCCCAAACCAAAGAUUGCCUGGACCAUUAAUGAUGUGUUUAUCGUGGGUUCACACAGGUACUGGGUAUAGGAUGACCUCAGAUGGUACCUUAUUUAUCAAAAAUGCAGCUCCCAAAGAUGCAGGGAUCUAUGGCUGCCUAGCAAGUAAUUCAGCUGGAACAGAUAAACAGAGUUCUACUCUCAGAUACAUAGAAGCCCCUAAGUUGAUGGUAGUUCAGAGUGAGCUCUUGGUUGCCCUUGGGGAUAUAACCGUUAUGGAAUGCAAAACCUCUGGUAUUCCUCCACCUCAAGUUAAAUGGUUCAAAGGAGAUCUUGAGUUGAGGCCCUCAACAUUCCUCAUUAUUGACCCUCUCUUGGGACUUUUGAAGAUUCAAGAAACUCAAGAUCUGGAUGCUGGCGAUUAUACCUGUGUAGCCAUCAAUGAGGCUGGAAGAGCAACUGGCAAGAUAACUCUGGAUGUUGGCUCACCUCCAGUUUUCAUACAAGAACCUGCUGACGUGUCUGUGGAAAUUGGCUCAAAUGUGACAUUACCUUGUUAUGUUCAGGGUUAUCCAGAACCAGCAAUCAAAUGGCGAAGAUUAGACAACAUGCCAAUUUUCUCAAGACCUUUUUCAGUUAGUUCCAUCAGCCAACUAAGAACAGGAGCUCUCUUUAUUUUAAACUUAUGGGCAAGUGAUAAAGGAACCUAUAUUUGUGAAGCUGAAAACCAGUUUGGAAAGAUCCAGUCAGAGACAACAAUAACAGUAACCGGACUUGUUGCUCCACUUAUUGGAAUCAGUCCUUCAGUGGCCAAUGUUAUUGAAGGACAGCAGGUUACUUUGCCCUGUACUCUGUUAGCUGGAAAUCCCAUUCCAGAACGUCGAUGGAUUAAGAAUUCAGCUAUGUUGCUCCAAAAUCCUUACAUCACUGUGCGCAGUGAUGGGAGCCUCCAUAUUGAAAGAGUUCAGCUUCAGGAUGGUGGUGAAUAUACUUGUGUGGCCAGUAAUGUUGCUGGGACCAAUAACAAAACUACCUCUGUAGUUGUGCAUGUUCUGCCAACCAUUCAACAUGGGCAGCAGAUACUCAGUACAAUUGAAGGCAUUCCAGUAACUUUACCAUGCAAAGCAAGUGGAAUUCCCAAACCAUCUGUCAUCUGGUCCAAGAAAGGAGAGCUGAUUUCAACCAGCAAUGCUAAGUUUUCAGCAGGGGCUAAUGGCAGUCUGUAUGUGGUGUCACCUGGAGGAGAGGAGAGUGGGGAGUAUGUCUGCACCGCCACCAAUGCAGCCGGCUAUGCCAAAAGGAAAGUGCAGCUAACAGUCUAUGUAAGGCCCAGAGUGUUUGGAGAUCAACGAGGACUGUCCCAGGAUAAGCCUGUUGAGAUAUCCGUCCUUGCAGGGGAAGAGGUAACACUUCCAUGUGAAGUGAAGAGCUUACCUCCACCCAUAAUUACUUGGGCCAAAGAAACCCAGCUCAUCUCACCGUUCUCUCCAAGACACACAUUCCUCCCUUCUGGUUCAAUGAAGAUCACUGAAACCCGCACUUCAGAUAGUGGGAUGUAUCUUUGUGUUGCCACAAAUAUUGCUGGGAAUGUGACUCAGGCUGUCAAAUUAAAUGUCCAUGGUGAGUUUUGCAAUGAGAGUAUAUGACAACUCUGUGGACUGGCCACACAAAAACCCAUAAUACUAGUUUAUUUGAUAGUUAAUUUCCAAAUUGUAUAUAGAGUGAUUAAAGAAAAAAAUUCUCUAAUA
rnacentral:sRNA from 1 species